rnacentral:tRNA from 1 species
GCCCUUGUAGUAUAGUGGUUAGUAUAGAGGAUUGUGGAUCCUCGGACAGGAGUUCGAUUCCCCUCAGGGGCC